UAGGGAAUCUUCGGCAAUGGACGAAAGUCUGACCGAGCAACGCCGCGUGAGUGAAGAAGGUUUUCGGAUCGUAAAACUCUGUUGUUAGAGAAGAACAAGGACGUUAGUAACUGAACGUCCCCUGACGGUAUCUAACCAGAAAGCCACGGCUAACUACGUGCCAGCAGCCGCGGUAAUACGUAGGUGGCAAGCGUUGUCCGGAUUUAUUGGGCGUAAAGCGAGCGCAGGCGGUUUCUUAAGUCUGAUGUGAAAGCCCCCGGCUCAACCGGGGAGGGUCAUUGGAAACUGGGCGACUUGAGUGCAGAAGAGGAGAGUGGAAUUCCAUGUGUAGCGGUGAAAUGCGUAGAUAUAUGGAGGAACGCCAGUGGCGAAGGCGGCUCUCUGGUCUGUAACUGAAGCUGAGGCUCGAAAGCGUGGGGAGCAAACAGG
rnacentral:rRNA from 1 species